AUAUAUCAACCUCUCCAGCUUUUGCUUGUUUGAGUGUUGGAUGUGGGGGUUUAUUUUAUUUUUUGCUGGCCUUUCUGAGGUCAGCUCCCCUGAAAUUCAUUAGCGGAACAAUUUGUUAACCCGUUCAUUGGUGUGAUAACUAUCUACGCUAUUGAUGGAAAAACAGUUCAGCUUCUAACAGUCCAUUUACUUGGACAAUUUUAUUAUUAUUA
rnacentral:misc_RNA from 1 species